AUUGAACGCUGGCGGCAUGCCUUACACAUGCAAGUCGAACGGUAACGCGGGGCAACCUGGCGACGAGUGGCGAACGGGUGAGUAAUGUAUCGGAACGUGCCCAGUUGUGGGGGAUAACUGCUCGAAAGAGCAGCUAAUACCGCAUACGACCUGAGGGUGAAAGCGGGGGAUCGCAAGACCUCGCGCAAUUGGAGCGGCCGAUAUCAGAUUAGGUAGUUGGUGGGGUAAAGGCUCACCAAGCCAACGAUCUGUAGCUGGUCUGAGAGGACGACCAGCCACACUGGGACUGAGACACGGCCCAGACUCCUACGGGAGGCAGCAGUGGGGAAUUUUGGACAAUGGACGCAAGUCUGAUCCAGCCAUGCCGCGUGCGGGAAGAAGGCCUUCGGGUUGUAAACCGCUUUUGUCAGGGAAGAAACGCUCUGGGUUGAUACCUCGGGGUAAUGACGGUACCUGAAGAAUAAGCACCGGCUAACUACGUGCCAGCCGCCGCGGUAAGAC
rnacentral:rRNA from 1 species